CAGCAGCCGCGGUAAUACGGGGGAGGCAAGCGUUAUCCGGAAUUAUUGGGCGUAAAGCGUCCGCAGGUGGUCAGCCAAGUCUGCCGUCAAAUCAGGUUGCUUAACGACCUAAAGGCGGUGGAAACUGGCAGACUAGAGAGCAGUAGGGGUAGCAGGAAUUCCCAGUGUAGCGGUGAAAUGCGUAGAGAUUGGGAAGAACAUCGGUGGCGAAAGCGUGCUACUGGGCUGUAUCUGACACUCAGGGACGAAAGCUAGGGGAGCGAAAGGGAUUAGAUACCCCUGUAGUCCUAGCCGUAAACGAUGGAUACUAGGCGUGGCUUGUAUCGACCCGAGCCGUGCCGAAGCUAACGCGUUAAGUAUCCCGCCUGGGGAGUACGCACGCAAGUGUGAAACUCAAAGGAAUUGACGG
rnacentral:rRNA from 1 species